rnacentral:ribozyme from 1 species
CUGGCCAGCCCACUGAAAGCCAAGUGACUAAAGAAAAAGUGGAGGCUGGAAAAGCAAAGAGAAAGUUUGCCGGGUCGCGCGCUCACUUUCUCUUGUGCGUGAUCGGAGUAUACUCGGCAUA